rnacentral:misc_RNA from 1 species
UGUUUCCCACGAUCCUCCAUCUUCUCCACUGCAUAUUUUCCGUUUUCAUUAUCCUCCUUCACCACUACAUUAUACUUUACAUCAAGGAGCAAACUAUUGCCUGUAGGAAGGAACUUACUUGCUUCCUCGACACCUUUCUUAAACUGCAUGAUCGACUCACUAUCACUAAAUAUGUCCGGAAUCUGAAUUGAGUUCACAGGCGAA